rnacentral:lncRNA from 1 species
UUUUUUUUUUUUUUUUUAGCAACCCCAAUAAGUUCAUCAAUAGCAUAGAUAGGCUGGGUGGCUGCUUUAUGUCGACAUCAAUCACGGUGUGGAAAAUUUCUGUAUGGCCCAAGCAAAGAUCGAUCGGCCAAUUAGUGGGUGAAUAAUGACUGAUCCCUUGACAUAAUUGCUGUGGAGAAAGGAAUGACAUUUACAUUUCUACCAAAGGAACUCGUAGUGCCAACCAAUCUCUUCCUCCUUCCACUAGCUGCUUGGUUAUCACUGUACGGUAAAGCAGAGUCAGAGAGCAUGUUCCUUUUCGUUCGUGGCCACGAUUUGCAGAGGGGAAGAAAAGGAGGAGGAGGAGCAUGGCAUCACCUUUGAGCAUGCUGGAGAGUUGCUGGUGGAAAUCUGGGUGGUUCACCUGCUGAGUUCUGGUUAUGGGGUCACGUCUUGAUUUUCUUCGAUAUGAACUGUCUUCGUUCUCUCCCCACUUUGGAAAAAAGCUAAUCCACUCGAUCAAGCAUGAUUGCUGCAGAGAAUCUCCACGUCAUUCCAUUUGUUUGAGAUCGAUAGUCAAGCUUGAUUCAUGGAAAAAUAGAUGGCGGCUCUAAGACCCUUAAGAUCACAUGUUAUAUGAAAAUCAUUGCAUUAUUACAAGUUAUUGCUUAAGGGUUGCCUCUAAAUUCGAAUCCUAAGAAUUAUAUUUGUGUUACUGGCUUCUUUUUAUUAUUAUUUAGUAUUGAGAUUAUGAAAGAGAUUUCCUGAAAUAAGUGAC